rnacentral:misc_RNA from 1 species
CAAGUCCCCUCCGCGAGUCAGUCGUCGUCUUGUCAUCACGUCACACGUGGAGCCAACGCAUGGAAACAAGUCGAAAAGAUCGAAAAACGCUUCGCGAGGAAGAACCGCAAUUUUGAUUUGACAGUCUCAGACGGCGAUACGCAAAAUAACAUUGUUGACAACAACGGACACACAAAACAAAAAGCAGCGGGCCUUCGGUGUGCUGUGGCAUUUGCUUUGCGCCCCAGAGCACGCCUAUAAGAAACACAAGCGUUGUGUCUUUCUCUUUUGUUUUGCCGCUCCUGCUUGUUUGUACAUUUACGUGUAAGACUGCGAGACCGUGCGUACCUUCUCUUCUCUAGAGCUUGCUAAGCUACACGCGCAAGCACAGAAACACCGGUCACAUACACAUACACGGCACUUUACAUCAUUUCGACUUCUUUCGAACCCAUCCUUCCCCCCCCUUUCCGCUACCGCUACCGCCAUCCCACUACUCGAAAUAGUCGAUAUUCACUCUUCUUUCGCUGUCGCUCUUCAUCUUGGUGUGUCGCCAUUGAAAGGCCAACAAAAGAGAGAAAACCGCUUUAAAGAAGCAGAAUUGCCUCGAAAUAUAUAUUCCCUCAGAGAGCAUCUUGAAAGCUGUUUUGCACGAGGAGGGGCGAAGCGUGGUUUGGUUUUGCUUAUUUAGGUGGAACAUGUUUGGUAAUUUUUUCUUUUGCCGCUGAAGCUUCACUGAAAGGGAAAAGGCGGCACUUGUAGAAGUCUUUUUGUUGUUCUCCAUAGAGCUGUCAAACGCCGUCACCAUUCACCAGACGUUUCUUCCGUCAAGAUAGGCUGCAGUCUAUGAUUCAAGCUCCAUCUCAUUUUUUUCUCGCUCUGCGUAGGAGUUUUAUUUUGUGACCCCCAACUUGUGGGAACGCGCUUCGUACUCGUCGAUUGGAUACCCCCUUUUCGGAUCAGCUGCUCGUUUCAGUCUUCCCUUUCCUUUCUACUUUCCGCGCUCCAAACUACGUAAGGUCCUUCUCAUCAACUGGCUGGUAGUAGUGGUCGUCGCUCUACCUCAUUUCUUAUUUUGAGCGCUGUCCACCGUUUGUUUGUGAGUGGGUGGGUAUCGCUGUAGAGUCUUUGCUCAUCGCCACGACCCCAGCUCCCCCUCCCCGAGUUUCCUUCGGCCCAGGUGGCGGUAGACUGCCGAGCGACGUGCUACAACGGAGAAAAAAGAGCACACACAGCAAAUAUACGCCCACUUCUUUUCUUUCUCCGUCUCAUACUUUCUUGUGGCUCGCCCUCUUCGAUUGUAACCGAUGCUCGCUAGAUACCUCGAUCCUUCAGUUCACCCGCUCAGAGUUGGGCAGGUGGUCGCCUACGACUACCUUCACGCUGCGAAGACGUGGCAGUGGACCCUGGGUACGGUGCGUGAGAUCAAGGACUACACGGCCGUCGUGCAGCAGUGGGGCCUUCACACCGGAGACAUUGACACGCUGCGCUCCAUUCUCCUCAAAGAGGUCGACACGGAAAAUGGACGCAUGAAGAACUAUCAUGAUAUGCUGGCUAUCGCACGAGAGAAGCUCGCAUCCAUCCGCCGUAGCAAUGAGGAUCGUGUUUCACACGUUCGAGGCCACUUUGACAAGGCUCGUGAAAAAGUAGAGCUCAUUGACGAGGUCGAUUUGCGCAAGGUCACGGCCCAGGCCGCCCCAUCCCCGGUUGCUGUAGCAGUGCUGAAGGCGGUGUGGGCCGUGGCCAAGUGCGAUCCCACGGCGGUUGAGUUCUACGAGUGGGCAGAUGUGCAACUGGAGUACCGGAAGCCAGCCGCUCUCGAUGAGAUCGCCAAGACAGACGUUCUCGCGAAGCUCUAUCCUUCCGCGGAAAGCCUCCAGCAGUCCCUGGAGCAGGACCCCAAGCUGAACUACAAGGCGGCGGCGCGCGACUCGCCGGUGGUGGCCAGCCUCCAUGCGUGGGUCAUCACAGCUCUUGCCUACCAGCAGGCGUACAACCUCCUGGCGCACGACAAGCGCAUCCAGGAGCAGAACGACGCCAUCGCAGCCGCCAUUGCUGGCAUGAAGGCCUGUCGCGCCAAGAUCGCCAAGCUCAAGGACGAGCUGUCUUCAAAGGACACGGCUGCACUCCCUGGUCAGGUCACCUCCUUCACCAGGACGUCAGUCCUCGUGACCAUUCCGCUGUCUGCCGUCAUCUCUCCCGUCAAUGUGGACACCGAUGUGAAGCGAUGCGUGCUGACUAAGGAUGAGGUCGAGCAGAUCCCUAUCGAUGCCAAGAUAACACGAUAUGCCCAAAAACAAAAACUGGCUAUCACCGGAUCUCACCUUCUCGAUCAAUACGCUGCCGCCACCACUACACACAUCUACGUCACUGAACUGGAAGACCGCCUCUUCUUCUUUCAGCAUUACAUGGCUUCCGCUCUACGUGACGCACAGACAGCUGCAGUAGACGCACACCAGCGCCUCGCCGUCAGUCUCCAUGAGCUAGAGGCGUUCCGCCAGAAGCGCCACGACGCCAAGAAGGCGCGCGCCGCGGAGCCGGAACUUGCGGAUGCCGACGGCGUGGAGCCAAGCAGCGGGCCCACCAGCAGUCGCUCUCCCACUGGCCGCGCAGCCCCGCGUGGACAGAGCGCUGCACCGCGCGGCACUGCAUCGCAGCAGCACAAGCUCCUCGGCCCCGCCUACCAGUCCAUCGACCCGGCUACCAUCGCCAACGAGCCGCUCUACGCCGUCACCAUCGAAGAGUACAAGGCCAAAGACGCCGCAGGGGAGCGAGCCAUGGACGAGGCGGAGCGCAUGGCGGACGAAGUGCAGCGGCUCGCCGUGGAACUGGAGGACGCCAAGGCGGCGGCCGACAAGCUGGCGGAGGAGCUCGCGGCCAAGGACGAGGAGCUCGCCGCGCACCGCCAGAAGCGCCACGAUGCCCGGCAGGCGCGCGCAAGCGACCCUGCCUUGGCCGCCGCCGACGCUGUCGCGCCGCGCAGCGGGAAGGGAGCAGCAUCGCCGCACGUCGGCGCAGUGCAGCGCCAGGCCGUCGACCCUGCCACCGUGCCCGUGGCCCCCGCCGUUAUCGCGGAGGAGCCGCUCUACGUGGCCACCGCGGAGGAGCUGCAGCAUGUGCGCGACUUCGCAGAUCAGCUCGCUGAGGAGCUAGAGGCGUUCCGCCAGAAGCGCCACGACGCCAAGAAGGCGCGCGCCGCGGAGCCGGAACUUGCGGAUGCCGACGGCGUGGAGCCAAGCAGCGGGCCCACCAGCAGUCGCUCUCCCACUGGCCGCGCAGCCCCGCGUGGACAGAGCGCUGCACCGCGCGGCACUGCAUCGCAGCAGCACAAGCUCCUCGGCCCCGCCUACCAGUCCAUCGACCCGGCUACCAUCGCCAACGAGCCGCUCUACGCCGUCACCAUCGAAGAGUACAAGGCCAAAGACGCCGCAGGGGAGCGAGCCAUGGACGAGGCGGAGCGCAUGGCGGACGAAGUGCAGCGGCUCGCCGUGGAACUGGAGGACGCCAAGGCGGCGGCCGACAAGCUGGCGGAGGAGCUCGCGGCCAAGGACGAGGAGCUCGCCGCGCACCGCCAGAAGCGCCACGAUGCCCGGCAGGCGCGCGCAAGCGACCCUGCCUUGGCCGCCGCCGACGCUGUCGCGCCGCGCAGCGGGAAGGGAGCAGCAUCGCCGCACGUCGGCGCAGUGCAGCGCCAGGCCGUCGACCCUGCCACCGUGCCCGUGGCCCCCGCCGUUAUCGCGGAGGAGCCGCUCUACGUGGCCACCGCGGAGGAGCUGCAGCAUGUGCGCGACUUCGCAGAUCAGCUCGCUGAGGAGCUAGAGGCGUUCCGCCAGAAGCGCCACGACGCCAAGAAGGCGCGCGCCGCGGAGCCGGAACUUGCGGAUGCCGACGGCGUGGAGCCAAGCAGCGGGCCCACCAGCAGUCGCUCUCCCACUGGCCGCGCAGCCCCGCGUGGACAGAGCGCUGCACCGCGCGGCACUGCAUCGCAGCAGCACAAGCUCCUCGGCCCCGCCUACCAGUCCAUCGACCCGGCUACCAUCGCCAACGAGCCGCUCUACGCCGUCACCAUCGAAGAGUACAAGGCCAAAGACGCCGCAGGGGAGCGAGCCAUGGACGAGGCGGAGCGCAUGGCGGACGAAGUGCAGCGGCUCGCCGUGGAACUGGAGGACGCCAAGGCGGCGGCCGACAAGCUGGCGGAGGAGCUCGCGGCCAAGGACGAGGAGCUCGCCGCGCACCGCCAGAAGCGCCACGAUGCCCGGCAGGCGCGCGCAAGCGACCCUGCCUUGGCCGCCGCCGACGCUGUCGCGCCGCGCAGCGGGAAGGGAGCAGCAUCGCCGCACGUCGGCGCAGUGCAGCGCCAGGCCGUCGACCCUGCCACCGUGCCCGUGGCCCCCGCCGUUAUCGCGGAGGAGCCGCUCUACGUGGCCACCGCGGAGGAGCUGCAGCAUGUGCGCGACUUCGCAGAUCAGCUCGCUGAGGAGCUAGAGGCGUUCCGCCAGAAGCGCCACGACGCCAAGAAGGCGCGCGCCGCGGAGCCGGAACUUGCGGAUGCCGACGGCGUGGAGCCAAGCAGCGGGCCCACCAGCAGUCGCUCUCCCACUGGCCGCGCAGCCCCGCGUGGACAGAGCGCUGCACCGCGCGGCACUGCAUCGCAGCAGCACAAGCUCCUCGGCCCCGCCUACCAGUCCAUCGACCCGGCUACCAUCGCCAACGAGCCGCUCUACGCCGUCACCAUCGAAGAGUACAAGGCCAAAGACGCCGCAGGGGAGCGAGCCAUGGACGAGGCGGAGCGCAUGGCGGACGAAGUGCAGCGGCUCGCCGUGGAACUGGAGGACGCCAAGGCGGCGGCCGACAAGCUGGCGGAGGAGCUCGCGGCCAAGGACGAGGAGCUCGCCGCGCACCGCCAGAAGCGCCACGAUGCCCGGCAGGCGCGCGCAAGCGACCCUGCCUUGGCCGCCGCCGACGCUGUCGCGCCGCGCAGCGGGAAGGGAGCAGCAUCGCCGCACGUCGGCGCAGUGCAGCGCCAGGCCGUCGACCCUGCCACCGUGCCCGUGGCCCCCGCCGUUAUCGCGGAGGAGCCGCUCUACGUGGCCACCGCGGAGGAGCUGCAGCAUGUGCGCGACUUCGCAGAUCAGCUCGCUGAGGAGCUAGAGGCGUUCCGCCAGAAGCGCCACGACGCCAAGAAGGCGCGCGCCGCGGAGCCGGAACUUGCGGAUGCCGACGGCGUGGAGCCAAGCAGCGGGCCCACCAGCAGUCGCUCUCCCACUGGCCGCGCAGCCCCGCGUGGACAGAGCGCUGCACCGCGCGGCACUGCAUCGCAGCAGCACAAGCUCCUCGGCCCCGCCUACCAGUCCAUCGACCCGGCUACCAUCGCCAACGAGCCGCUCUACGCCGUCACCAUCGAAGAGUACAAGGCCAAAGACGCCGCAGGGGAGCGAGCCAUGGACGAGGCGGAGCGCAUGGCGGACGAAGUGCAGCGGCUCGCCGUGGAACUGGAGGACGCCAAGGCGGCGGCCGACAAGCUGGCGGAGGAGCUCGCGGCCAAGGACGAGGAGCUCGCCGCGCACCGCCAGAAGCGCCACGAUGCCCGGCAGGCGCGCGCAAGCGACCCUGCCUUGGCCGCCGCCGACGCUGUCGCGCCGCGCAGCGGGAAGGGAGCAGCAUCGCCGCACGUCGGCGCAGUGCAGCGCCAGGCCGUCGACCCUGCCACCGUGCCCGUGGCCCCCGCCGUUAUCGCGGAGGAGCCGCUCUACGUGGCCACCGCGGAGGAGCUGCAGCAUGUGCGCGACUUCGCAGAUCAGGCUGCCCAUGAUGCAACAGCGAGGGAAGCGGAAGUUGCUGGUACCGUGGAGAAUCUGAGAAAUGAGUUGGAUGAUGUGCGCGAGAUGAAUGCUAAGUUAGAAGACGAAGUUUUUGCUUUGAAAGAGCAACUGUCGGACGCUGAGGAUGCAUACAAGAAGUUAGCAGGCGCUCUGGUAGUCGCCGAAGACGAGCGUCAAGAGCUGUGUGACGAUCUGGAGGCCGCCUUAGACGAGCUUGAGCAGAAGAAAGAUGAAUACGAUGAACUGCUCGGCAACUUGGAGGAGGUUCAGGGUUUGCUGGAAGCUGCUGACGUUGCUGGGCGAACCGCUGUGGAGGCGUUGGAGCAGCGAAACCGAGACAUGGCGGACCUGCAGGGCGAGUUGGCCAAUGCGCUGGACGCCAGCAAAGAAAAUGAGAAUCUUCGUGCACUGCUGGAUGCCAAGGAGAGAGAGAUCGAUAGACUGAAAGAGUACAACAGUUUCUGGACUGACACUGUCGGCACCGGAAAGCAGAAGGUAACACACAGGCUCACAAAGAUCUUCGAUGGCGACUGGACUCGUUUGAUGCGUCAUAGACCUGAGGCACUGAAGGCAGCGUUCGUGAUUGAUUCCAGCAACGCAUGCCACGUGCCCGGAGACCAGAUUGUGCAAGUAGAUUUCGAUCACGAUUAGUAAGAACGGUGUCGAUGGGAGUUUUUCUGCUUUGUAAGAGCCCGUCAUCAGUUUUCUCUGCUUGUUUUGGUUCGCAUUUUCGCUGAGCAAGACGCGCUGGUUUGCGCCUCGAUCAUGUUGGUACUGGUCCCUUGAAGUGGGUGAGAGCGCCUCAUCGGUUAUUUGGUUUGUGGAGUGAGUGUGCUGGCGUUCUCAUACCGCAGAGCGUGUAUUCUGCCACGUGCUUAUUUUUUUCAUUGUAUUAUGAUUCCUCAGUCAUCUGUUCAUGGUGAACGCGCCCGUUGUCACCAUUUUUUCCUUGCGCUAUCCCUCUUUGAUUCCAUAGUGAUCCACUCUUGAAGUAAGCGUUGGCUCGUUUUGCAGGACAUUUGUGAGCUUUUCUCACACUAUCGUCUUGCCUGAUACGUGGAGUUACUUCAGUGUAGUUUGCUGCCGUGUUUGUGCUUUUGUUCGUAGACUGUCUUGACGAUCAUAGUUCCUUCAUCCUGUUGUUUGCAGGUGUGUCUUGUAUGUCUGAGGACGACGCCUGGCUCACCGGUUGCUCAGUUCAUCGUCUGUCUGUGUACGUGUUC